GAUGAACGCUGGCGGCGUGCCUAAUACAUGCAAGUCGAGCGAACGGACGAGAAGCUUGCUUCUCUGAUGUUAGCGGCGGACGGGUGAGUAACACGUGGAUAACCUACCUAUAAGACUGGGAUAACUUCGGGAAACCAGAGCUAAUACCGGAUAAUAUUUUGAACCGCAUGGUUCAAAAGUGAAAGACGGUCUUGCUGUCACUUAUAGAUGGAUCCGCGCUGCAUUAGCUAGUUGGUAAGGUAACGGCUUACCAAGGCAACGAUGCAUAGCCGACCUGAGAGGGUGAUCGGCCACACUGGAACUGAGACACGGUCCAGACUCCUACGGGAGGCAGCAGUAGGGAAUCUUCCGCAAUGGGCGAAAGCCUGACGGAGCAACGCCGCGUGAGUGAUGAAGGUCUUCGGAUCGUAAAACUCUGUUAUUAGGUAAGAACAUAUGUGUAAGUAACUGUGCACAUCUUGACGGUACCUAAUCAGAAAGCCACGGCUAACUACGUG
rnacentral:rRNA from 1 species